GAAACUGAUUCUGCAUUCUGAGCUCCUUAAUAUGAUUUUUUAGGUCACAGUGUUCUAGGCAAAGCUCCCUGUUGAUGUACAUCUCUCAUGCAAGAUUUAGAUCACCUCUUUUCGGGCAGAGCUCCAUGGAAACACCGCCCAUGAUUUCUGAAAUGGAGUCUGAUUGGGUCCCCGUAAUGCCCGGCUGGAGUGGACAGCAAUCUCUGCAGUUGACACAUUGCUGGACAGUUGGCAAGCCUGAGACUACCAGAACCUACUCCUUGGAGAGGGAAGGAAGCUCCUUGACCCAUGCUCCACUUUGGGGGCAAAGGCUCUUCAGACCCUCUGAGUGCUGCCAGAAGUCCCUUGGGGAAAAGAGAGACCAGUGCCACAGCCUGGGGACAACAGUUGCACAACUCACCACAAGGCAACAGGGCAACAUGGAAGGAUGGUUCCAGCUCCUGGGGCCAGUGGAUAAAUGCCGACCCAGACUCUGGUCACAACGGAACAACCAACUCACUUAAAGAAAAUUAAUCCUCCAUUUUCUCGCCUGUCAAACUAGGAAAUGGGAUGCUUUGUAGACUAGAAAAGCACGUUUGGCAUCAUCUCUCACAACCUCUUUAUUGUAUACACUUGAAAUCUGAGCACCAGAGAUGGGGAAUCAUUUCUAAAAGACAAGACCCCUCCCUCAUGUUCAAGUUCUGCUUUCUCUUCUAGAUAAUCCCCAAGAUUUUCUUCAGCUCCAGGAAUCUAUUACUCUAAAGACAUAGUCCCCUAYCUGCUCUGGCUGCUGACUGUGGACCUCUGUUGGGACCCUUGACGACAUUGUGUCCAGCUAUUUCCCUCAUACAGAAAUCAUUAAUCUUAUGGAAUCCUGAGCAGAUGAUCUACUUAGCAAAGCUUCUGGAAGGCCUGAUGUAAUGCUUUUGAACACCCAGAGUUGCUUCAGGCAGAACCUCCAGAGAGGGAAUUGGGCAAGGCGACUUGGCCUUCUGACCACAUGCCAGUAACCAUCCAAAUACCUGUGCUCCUUGUGAAUCUCGGGUCCCGAAUAGCUUUGUGACCUUGAACAAGCCUCAUUCCCCUUCUGAGCCUCAGUUUCCUCAUAUUUAAAACUAGUGGUUAUACUAGAUGAUCCCUAAGGCACCUUCCAGCUCUGACAUUCCAUUACAGAAUAUUUCCCAAUCUUUUUAUUCCUUGGGGGAUUUUACUCAGAAACUAGGAGGAUGUUCUUCACCACAGGAAAUCUGGGAAUGCUUGAAGGAUUCUGGACUAUAAAACAAAUAUUAGAAAAGAAACCUAAGAAUAUUUUGUUUCCCUGUCCUUUGGGCUCAUAAGGUCCAUAUCAAAUGUUCACAAAAACUGCAUCUACAUUUUCAUGUGUAGAUGGGAAAGAUAGGUGUGAUGCCUAUGAUGGAAAUUGACCAGAUCCCAUCAGAGACAUAGAUCCUACCAUCCAAGCACUUAUCUACUAAGAAGCUAAUAUAUAUAUAUAUAUAUUCUGAAUACAAAGUAUGAGAAUUUAAAGCCAAUAAAAAGGAUUUAGAGGGGAAAGUGUCGAUGUGU
rnacentral:lncRNA from 1 species